rnacentral:misc_RNA from 1 species
CUUUCUCUCUUCUUCUUCUGUCCAGGAAAGUUUAACAUCUUCACCCAUCUUGUCAAACCUCCAAUGAUGGAAACCUGCCCCCAAUUCACGCUUCACCCUCAACCUUCUCUCAGCAUUAUGAAAUCUGACACAUUCUACAGAUUUUGGCACUUCACAACCACAUGAAUCAUUCCUUCCCUUACCAACAGGUUCUCGUUCAAUAACUAUUCUGUUAUCCACUUUUUCCAGUGGCCAAACCCGUGUCCCAGCCCACUUUGAGUUGCUUUCAGAGACAACACCAGUCCAUUCUGGCACUUCAGCCUGAAAAUCUGGGCCCAAGGGAAUUGACUUUUCAACUGGAAGGUCAACCACUGAAUAUUUUGUUGAGGAAUCACCAUUGAAAAUCCCUUUUUUGCGAGAGUAUGAGUCGGUUUCAGUGGUUGAGGAAGACAACUGUGAACAAGCCUGUGCCUGAAACACUGUUUUGCUAUGUAGCAGCUUCUUGCUACUUUUUAACCUCUCUCUGAAAUUGUAAGCAGAUCCAACUUGAUCGUCAUACAUGCAUGGGUGCAUCUUCCGAUUUUUCUGGCAAAAGGAAUUUUCAGCACCUGAAUCAACAUGCCUUCUCAGAAACAAUGCCUCCCGAACCAACAAAACCUUCUUCCAUAAUUCCUCAUUCCCAUAAGACUCCCACUUUGACCUCUCUGGUAACGGAACAACUACAGGAUCACAUGGAUUCCUUGCAAUCCCAGUAAUCCAGCUCAGCACUCUACACAUGGACUCCCUUUUCCUUUCAUAGCUGGAAAUGGAUUCCUCAACAGCGUCCAAAUCUAAUACCAUAACAUCAUUUUCAUCACCAUUGUCAUCUUUCUUGCUCCCAUCCAUUUCCACCAUUGCACUCUUCACCUCUUCCUCAUCACAAACCUUCACACUUGUUAAAUUGGAUUGCAGGUCUUUCUGAACAUCUUUACAUCUAUUGUCCCCAUCAGAAAAAGAAUCAAUGGUAGUGCUCUUUGCCACAUUAUAGCCUAACUUCCCAAUUUCAACAAAAUCAACAACACUCUUUCCAUUGUCUAUGUGCACAGAUUCUUCAUCAUCAACAAUGCACUUCUCAUCCCCAUUUGAAUCCACCUCAGCACUCACAUUCAGUACAGAUUUCCAAUCCAUUAUCUCUGACAACAACCCCUUAAACUCGGACCCUAACUCCAUUGAAACCCCACCCACAUCUGCGCCACUAUCACUCAGUUUGGUUUUUGAGUUGAUGAUAUCACUUGAUUUGGAUUUUGAAUUCUUUUCAUCAACACAUCUCUCUAACCAUUUCUCCAAUGCAUCCAAAUACUUGGCAUAAACCAAUUUCACAGAAGAUGCAAGGUUUGGGCCCAAUCCAGACUCUUCAGCCACCACAUCCCACAAACAUUUAUUAGAAACGGCAUCAUAACCACCCUUCUGCCUCACAAUCAAAAACAAUUUAAACAAAUCCACAGAUUGUCCAUCUCCAAACAUUGGAGGGAAUGCAACAUCUAGGGCACAGAUUUCUUUCCGGAAAAAAUUUAAACACUUAUCAAAUUGGCAUCGAAGCUUGGCAUCGGGUUCGGUUUUUAAUCCAGCCAGUUGUGAAAACGGGUCAAGAGCGAACAGAAGCCCUUUUGGCUGGAGCUUCUUCUGUGGGGUUUUGCAGCAAUCUAAGGCGCACUUAUCACCAGAAAUCAUCGACCACCCGAUUAAGCAUCUAGGUCAAGCGUGGAAGAUAGGUUUUUGGCGGGAAAAAUCUGAUCUAGGGUUUUGAAGCGCCGAAGAAAUUUUUUGUCCCGCGCGCAAGCUCUGUGUGCGAGAUAGAGAAAGAAAAAGAAUACAGGGGUUAUAAUUCAAGUUUUGAACAGAUACAGACCCUCGUCUUCAAAAUCCAAAAGAGUCUUUGUUUGGGCUAAAAAGGAGGAAAACGUACCAGAAAUCCUUGUGGGUAUUUUGAGUGGGGCUUCAAUGACCCUCUGGUGACCCCCUUGACCCCUCCACCAAUCCCCUUUGCCUUUUGGCCUUCUUGUUGUGUUACCAAUACUAUUAUUUUUAAGGCUCUCUUCUUUUCUUCGGGUCUCAAAACCUUCCUU